UGCACCGGUUCAAUAGUUCAGGGUCGAGAUAUCCGGUUUUGUGGUUUAGGGUCAUGGAUUAGAUUCGGGAAAAAGUACAUCGAAGGUCCCUCAACUUAUCAACGGGAUAAAAAACGUCCUCGAACCGCAAAACCAGAUAUGUGAGAUCCCUUAACUAUACAAAACCGGUCAC
rnacentral:misc_RNA from 1 species